rnacentral:rRNA from 1 species
ACUCAAAGGAAUUGACGGGGACCCGCACAAGCGGUGGAGCAUGUGGUUUAAUUCGAGGCAACGCGAAGAACCUUACCAGAUCUUGACAUCCUGAUCGCCGCUCUUGUAAUGAGAGCUUCAGUUCGGCUGGAUCAGAGACAGAUGCUGCAUGGCUGUCGUCAGCUCGUGUCGUGAGAUGUUGGGUUAAGUCCCGCAACGAGCGCAACCCUCAUCUUUAGUUACCAUCAGGUUAUGCUGGGGACUCUAAAGAAACUGCCUGCGUUAAGCAGGAGGAAGGCGGGGAUGACGUCAAGUCAGCACGGCUCUUACGGUCUGGGCUACACACGUGCUACAAUGGUGGUGACAAUGGGCAGCAAAUCCGCAAGGAGGCGCUAAUCUCAAAAAGCCAUCUCAGUUCGGAUUGUCCUCUGCAACUCGAGGGCAUGAAGCUGGAAUCGCUAGUAAUCGCAUAUCAGCAGGAUGCGGUGAAUACGUUCCCGGGUCUUGUACACACCGCCCGU